rfam:Otolemur garnettii contig010688, whole genome shotgun sequence.
UCAGGGUACAGUGGCAUGUGCCUGCAGUCCCAACUACUCACGAGGCUGAGGCUGGAGGAUUGCUUGAAGCCAGGAAUUCUAGGCUAUCAUGCACUAUGCUGAUUGGGUGUCCACAGUAUGUUCAGCAACAGUAUGGUGACCUCCUGUGAGCAGGAGACCACCAGGUUGCCUAGGAGGGGAGAAAGGACGAGGGAGCAGAUCAGUUCCCCUGCUGGUCAGGAGCGGGAUUGCCCCUGUGAAUAGCCACUGCACUCCAACCUGGGCAAUAUGGGAAGAGCCGGCCUCUU